rnacentral:rRNA from 1 species
AUUGAACGCUGGCGGCAUGCCUUACACAUGCAAGUCGAACGGUAACGGGCCUUCGGGUGCCGACGAGUGGCGAACGGGUGAGUAAUGCAUCGGAACGUACCUUUCAGUGGGGGAUAACGUAGCGAAAGUUACGCUAAUACCGCAUAUUCUGUGAGCAGGAAAGCAGGGGAUCGCAAGACCUUGCGCUGAUUGAGCGGCCGAUGUCAGAUUAGCUAGUUGGUGAGGUAAAGGCUCACCAAGGCGACGAUCUGUAGUGGGUCUGAGAGGAUGAUCCGCCACACUGGGACUGAGACACGGCCCAGACUCCUACGGGAGGCAGCAGUGGGGAAUUUUGGACAAUGGGGGCAACCCUGAUCCAGCCAUGCCGCGUGAGUGAAGAAGGCCUUCGGGUUGUAAAGUUCUUUCGGCCGGGAAGAAAUCGCACAGGCUAAUACCUUGUGUGGAUGACGGUACCGGAAUAAGAAGCACCGGCUAACUACGUGCCAGCCGCCGCCGUAAUAC